rnacentral:rRNA from 1 species
UACGGAGGGGGCGAGCGUUAUUCGGAAUUAUUGGGCGUAAAGAGCUCGUAGGCGGUUUGUUGCGUCGGCUGUGAAAACCCGGGGCUCAACUCCGGGCCUGCAGCCGAUACGGGCAGACUAGAGUUCGGCAGGGGAGACUGGAAUUCCUGGUGUAGCGGUGAAAUGCGCAGAUAUCAGGAGGAACACCGGUGGCGAAGGCGGGUCUCUGGGCCGAUACUGACGCUGAGGAGCGAAAGCGUGGGGAGCGAACAGG